rnacentral:tRNA from 1 species
GGCGCUGUGGUUAAGUGUUUGGCUGCUAACCAAAAGGUCGGUGGUUUGAAUCCACCAGCCA